GACGAACGCUGGCGGCGUGCUUAACACAUGCAAGUCGAACGGAAAGGCCCUGCUUGCAGGGUCCUCGAGUGGCGAACGGGUGAGUAACACGUGGGUGAUCUGCCCUGCACUUCGGGAUAAGCCUGGGAAACUGGGUCUAAUACCGGAUAGGAGCCAUUUUUAGUGUGAUGGUUGGAAAGUUUUUUCGGUGUAGGAUGAGCUCGCGGCCUAUCAGCUUGUUGGUGGGGUAAUGGCCUACCAAGGCGGCGACGGGUAGCCGGCCUGAGAGGGUGGACGGCCACAUUGGGACUGAGAUACGGCCCAGACUCCUACGGGAGGCAGCAGUGGGGAAUAUUGCACAAGGGGCGCAAGCCUGAUGCAGCGACGCCGCGUGGGGGAUGACGGCCUUCGGGUUGGAAACUCCUUUCGCUAGGGACGAAGCUUUUUGUGACGGUACCUAGAUAAGAAGCACCGGCUAACUACGUG
rnacentral:rRNA from 1 species